CUCUGAGAUGUCUGUUCCUGCCUAUGGGAUGCAGUUCACCGGCUCAUGCUCUGGAGUCAGCUGGGGGAUCUGUCCUGUCACCCCAGCUUCGAAGUUAUCUCCACCUACAGUGUGGGUAGAUGUCUUUCAGGAGGACAGAUUGUCUUCCCUCUUCUAAGGACAGCGAGUUCUAGUAUCACUCAGCAACAAGACCCAAACUGCCCAAUGGAGCAGUGAACAUGGCCUGAAUGACCGUUUCUCCCGCUGCGUGAGACUGUUCCCCCACCCAGUGAAUGUCACGAAAAUCUUUGGAUGGUACCCCAGGAGCCCCUUUGCAUGGAACUCUUUGUCUCAGCAUCUGUAUGUACGGAAGCCCCACUACACGGUUCAUGCUGCUGCACACAGCUGCUUACACGGCUGCUGGGGAUUGAACCUGUGCCUUCCCGCUUGUGUGCAGACACGUUGGUGACGGAGCCAUCAACCCAGCCCUAGCUUCUCAUCAGGAAUCUCAAGAUGAGCUUCUUGUUUGGUACAAAGAACAUCCUGUCCAAUCUUACAAUUUGGUAGAAGGACUAAAAUGUCCCAAAGCACAUGGAUAGAAACCCAUAGAGCAAAUGCACAAGUGCAUGGGUGUGAGUGUGUGUACAUGCGUGUGCGGAUGCGUGGUGUUUAUGCGCAGAUGCAUUUGCACAUGUGAAGGCAAUAGUCAGCCUUGGGUGUCGUUCCUCAGGUGAUGUCCACCACGCCCCCCCCCUUUGUUUUUUGAGACAAGGUCUCUCACUUGGUUUGGAUUAGUUGAUUGGGCCAGGCUGGCUGGCCUAGGGAUCCCCACCC